UCGUCAGUGAGGUAUAUCCUUACCUGUUACUCCAGCAAUGGAGCAGCAGAACAUGAUGAAUGGAGGCUGAUGAGACGGGGAUUAACCGCUCCUGCUCGCCGAGGACUGCAACUCCUCUCCGAGCCCAUUCUGAU